GUGUUGCUUACCCAUGUAAAGGAAUUCGAUGGUUUUGGUGCCCCCAUCCUCCUUGAGCCCUUUGGGGUACGGGGUGGACAAAAGGCGGGCUCCGUGUUCCCUGCGUGUCGAGUGCAUUGACGUUCGUCCGUUGUGGCCCAUGGGGUCUCGGUCCGUGCUCUCGGAUUUGGAAUGUUGUGUGUGGGCGUGGGGUCUUGGCCUCUGUUCGUCCAACAUAUUGUCCCUUGACAUGAACGACUGUCGCAUUCGUCUUGAUCGGUCGACCGAGCCCCCGCAGCGGGGCUUCGGGAGGGUGGUAAAUACGGG
rnacentral:misc_RNA from 1 species